rnacentral:rRNA from 1 species
GACGAACGCUGGCGGCGUGCUUAACACAUGCAAGUCGAACGAUGAAGAAGAGCUUGCUCUUCGGAUUAGUGGCGAACGGGUGAGUAACACGUGACUAACCUGCCCCUUUCUCUGGGAUAACGCUCCGAAAGGAGUGCUAAUACCGGAUACUCACAUCGAGGCACAUGCCUUGAUGUGGAAAGUUUUUCGGAAAGGGAUGGAGUCGCGGCCUAUCAGCUUGUUGGUGAGGUAACGGCUCACCAAGGCGACGACGGGUAGCCGGCCUGAGAGGGCGACGGGCCACAAUGUGACUGAGACACGGCCCAGAGUCCUACGGGAGGCAGCAUUGGGGAAUAUUGCACAAUGGGCGAAAGCCUGGUGCAUCGACGCCGCGUGAGGGAUGAAUGUCUUCGGAUUGUAAACCUCUUUCGGUAGGGAGGUAGCGAGAGUGACGGUACCUAAAGAAGAAGCACCGGCUAACUACGUGCCAGCCGCCGCAGUAA